rnacentral:rRNA from 1 species
UUUGCGGCGGCCAUGGCCCAGGGGAGACGCCCGGACCCAUUCCGAACCCGGAAGCUAAGACCUGGCACGGCGAUGGUACUGCACCUGGAAGGGUGUGGGAGAGUAGCACGCCGCCGCACC